rnacentral:rRNA from 1 species
UACGUAGGGGGCAAGCGUUGUCCGGAUUUAUUGGGCGUAAAGAGCGUGUAGGCGGCCAGGUAGGUCUGCUGUGAAAACUCGAGGCUCAACCUCGAGACGCCGAUGGAAACCAUCUGACUAGAGUCCGGAAGAGGAGAGUGGAAUUCCUGGUGUAGCGGUGAAAUGCGCAGAUAUCAGGAAGAACACCCGUGGCUAAGGCGGCUCUCUAGUACGGUACUGACGCUGAGACGCGAAAGCGUGGGGAGCGAACAGG